UUCAAACUUUUUGAUGAAAAGCAGCUGUAUAACGCUAAUUCGUUCAUUUUACACACGAGGUUAUAUCAUUUCAUGCACAGCCACCAGAGUGCGCCCGACUGCAGCUCAUCAACCCUGUACGCGCACUGUCUCAAACCCUUCCUGUUUUCGGGCCGGGCGCUAAUUGGUUUCCGUUAUUGUGCAAAGUUUUCAGCAAGACGGAAACUGGGAGAGAAAAAAAAGUGAUUUUAGAGACUACAAGCCAGACGAGGAAGUGGGCACAGCCGAAAAGAGAAGCUGCCACAGUAGCGUGCAUCACAAACCACAGCGCUCAGUCUCAACUCUUCACCCCUCAGCUUCUCUUUACACAGGGGGAAGUGGGAGUUUGCUGAGGCUGACCUGCUGAUAAACACCAUCAGGCCUUGAACUGUGCUGGAGUUUUCUUCGUAAGAAUGAAUGAACAUCAAAGAAACCCGUGCCCAUGCAUCAGAUUUGAGGGUGCAUUUUCCUUUAAGCUGCAGUUAUCCUUGAGGUUUACGGAGAAUUCAGUAAUGCACGCUAUGCAAUGCUCUUCAUGCUAACUCUCGAUAUGCAUCACUGGCACAUGCAGAUAUUGGAGAUUGGCAGUUCAUGACCCAGCUGUCACCAUCAGCGUUAUCGACGUCCUCCCACACAUAACUAAGGUUGUUAUAACUCUUUCUUGCUUGAAGUAUAAGUCACUUCCGUCGAGACAUACAUAAACUCCAUAGUUUAUAGAUUAAGAGAGCAUUGAACAUUCUCCAUUUUGAGGUAAAAUUCUCUGUGGAGCGGCACGCCGAGCAAAAGGUGACUGUUUUGUCAUCUCACGUUCACCUUCGCAGAAAACCCUUAUCUGACACUGUGGGAAGCUGUCUCUUUGUGUGUGAGGAAGUGUUUGCAUACUCUUGAUCAUAUAUGCUGCGUGAAUUGUUUAGUGAUACAGACUGGUAGAUGUAGUCAGUGGCACACCAUUUUU